rnacentral:tRNA from 1 species
CCGCAACGGGGGCCGUUCCCAAGCCCGCCACCGGGCCCGUGACCGGGCUUGCCGCCGAGCUCGUGACCGGUUCCGUGACCGGUGUCGUGGUC